GGGAGGUCUAAGAGGUGACCAGCAGAAGAGAAGAUAGAGGAGGAAGCAAGUAUGAGGCUCCGCUGGAGGAGAAAGGAAGAUGCUAUGUGCCUGACGUUCUGGAGCACAGCCCUGACCCUGAGGAUGCGCAGAGUUAGUAGGAAAGGGAAGAUAGUGAUGGUGAAUAAAGCACCUUGCAGAUAAAGGAAGUGGGCAGCAAGGGGCGGCGCCCUGAGACUCGCAUUCUUCCCUUGGUGAAGUCAUGAAGGAUACAGAGUAGACUCGCAUUCUUCCCUCGGUGAAGUCAUGAAGGACACAGAGAAUGGUCUAUUUUCUGUCCUGCGGACAAUACAAACCGGCCCUGGGUUGGAAGGCUUCCUCUCCUGGCACUGCUCCUGUCAGACUCCGCUCCUGGAGCCCUCUCAGAAUUCAGCUUGCGUCCCCCUCCUGGGCUUCUUCCAGGCCGUGCUGCCUCCGGCUGUGGACCCUGCAUGUGCAUCCCCACUCUUGCAUUACCAGAAAGCCAUCCUGUCAUCUGCCCACAGCCUUACCAGCAUCUGUCUUCCUGUCCCAUCUGGAAAGUGGGACCAGUCACCGUUACCUCCUUGAGGAGGGAAAUCUGCUCUGAGCUACUGCAUGACUGAAA
ensembl:lncRNA